UGCAAGAAUACUACUUGACCUAACCACUCAACCUAGCCAUUGGUUCCUCACCAGCUGGGGCCCCUGGGAUGCCGGAAAAAUCCCAAAACGGCCUGAUUACAUCACACAGCAGAAGCAAAGUUCUUGAAAGCCUCCAGGAUGUCACUUCUUGUGGUAUUAUUGUUAUUUGCCUCUGCUGAGCACAGCAAAUCCCCACAAAAUUCUGCGCUUUCACAAUUUGUGUUGUUGUGCUCAUUUUGCAACGCAACCGCUUCCUGUUCAUGGAAGCAGGAAGGAAAAGAGUUCCUUUUCGCCGCUUUCGAAACGCCCAGGUACGAGAGGGAAGUUCGUUUGCAUGAGCACGUCUUCUUCCGCUGCCGAGAAACAGAUAAGAGGGCCAUCCCAGCUGUAGCAGAGACCACUUCACAGCAAGAGGAGCAGCUUGGAAGGCUAGAAAUCCUCCUUUCUGGAAAGAGACCGGCGUGACUUCCUUGGACAGAUCAAAAGCCCCCAUGUCUAGAGUGCCUGAAUGCGAAGAGGAGGUGAUGGACUUCUGCAGUGUGGACGAGAUGCAGUUCUACGAAGAGGACCGGCCUUCUCUGGCCAAGGAGACCUUCCCAGGGCUGAGCCAUCCUGCCUGCAAAGUGGGCAUUCAGGUGAAGAUCGCCAACAGCUCUUCAUCUCUGGGCUUCCAGAAGGCAGCGAUCAUUAUGGUGGCGAUUGAGAGGAUGAAGAAGAAGAAGUCCUCCAAAGCCAGGGCGCUUUUCACAGAUGACGACCUGAUGGACAUCAUCAAUUCCGUCUUAGGUACAGUAUGGGACACCAGCUGGCUGCCAUAUUGGGUGUGAUCCCGAUGGGAAUCCCCAGCGAGGAGCCUAGAGAUGCGUCCUG
rnacentral:lncRNA from 1 species